rnacentral:rRNA from 1 species
AUUGAACGCUGGCGGCAGGCCUAACACAUGCAAGUCGAGCGAGCGGCGGACGGGUGAGUAAUGUCUGGGAAACUGCCUGAUGGAGGGGGAUAACUACUGGAAACGGUAGCUAAUACCGCAUACCAUCAGAUGUGCCCAGAUGGGAUUAGCUAGGAGGUGGGGUAACGGCUCACCUAGGCGACGAUCCCUAGCUGGUCUGAGAGGAUGACCAGCCACGCGGGAACUGAGAUACGGUCCAGACUCGUCAGUGAGGCAGCAGUGGGGAAUAUUGCACAAGGGGCGCAAGCAUGAUGAAGCCAUGCCGCGUGUGUGAAGAAGGCCGUCGGGUUGUAAAGCACUUUCAGCGGGGAGGCGUUACCCGCAGAAGAAGCACCGGCUAACUCCGUGCCAGCAGCCGCGGUAAUUC